rnacentral:lncRNA from 1 species
CUGCUCAAAGCCAGAUUUGCCUUCAAACGAAGCUGUAGUCAGCCCAAGCCUUCAUCCCUUUCGGGAUAAACCCUUGCCAAAAGCCUUUGUAAUAGCUCUGCUACCUUGUCCUAAGCUUGUUGUAGUAUCGAUUUCUUUCUGCAAACUUAACUCCCUACCUCAUUUUCUAAAGCUCUCAAACCCCUUGAUAAACCACAAAGAUAGGAAGUUGCAAGACGAAUCAGCCUUGCCCGACAAGGUUAAACCUUGCCCGACCCGUUUUGUUUUUGUCUUUUCAUUCAUUAGCCUAGCAAUAUGUUAUAUACUUCCAGUUGUAUUCAAGUUAUUUCUAGUAAGAUGAUGAUUAAAAGACUCUCUCAGUUCUUGAAUCCGAUUUGAAUAUAUCUUCACAAUUCAAACCAGAUCUAAGUUCUAAGCUUUCGGGCAUGUAAGAUUGAUCAUUCAAAAGUCCUUGGCCUCAAGGCAUAAAAAAGAACCUUAUGUGGACUUAACCCAUCCACGACAAGCUUUGAUAACAAGAAGUCCGAAGUUACUUGGGGCGCAAGUAAUUGAUCUAUCUCUUAGUUUUAUUUCUAUUAUAUUAUGAUUAUAGUAGAACGUUUGAGUAUAGAAGGAAUUAUGAUGGGAAGCCUUAAGGCCUAUAUCUAAGGCCCUACAAAGGCACCUAUUUGGGUUCAUUCUGCUCUGCGGGCUCGAAUAAUCAGAAGUAUAAUGGUUAUAACACUUUUGCAAACAAUAAAACAGACAUCGUAUAUUCGAGUACUGGGUUAGUUCUUGAUCGGAAGCCU